CUGCCAUCACCACGAGAACAUGCCUGGCCUGGACACGCUGGAGGACGAGAGACAUGCCGAGCAGAGCUGAGUCAUCCCAGUCACCCCCGAUAAGGCCAGCCUGGAAAAGCCAAUAGCUGGCCAACCUGAAGCCUCAAGAGUGGCCCAGUCAGGAUUACAGAGCUGCCUACCAGCCUCUGAGUGACCCAAGCAAUAUGAGCAACAAACACCUAUUAUCAUAUGUCACUGUGUGUUUGCAGUUGUUGGGUAGACAGCAUUAUUGUAGAAAUAGCUAACUGAUACACUGUGUCCAGUGCUAGGCUAGUUGGGUGGUGAGAUUUUGAGUGGUUCUGCCUCCUACAAUCUCUUUUUUCCUGUCCAUUUUCAGAGCCUGGUCCUCCAGAAUUCUUGGCAAUUAUUAAAGUAACCCAGUAUCUUUUCAGUGAAUUCCCUUUGUGCUUACAUCGACCAGAGCCAACUUCUGUUUCCCACACUUAAGAACUCUGUCUAGUACUGUGCAAGUAUAGUGCUAGCUCUUAUUAUUAAUCUCCCAUUUCUGCCUUUGUUUGAACUGGCACUUAUCUUCCGGAACUUGUUUCAUUACUGAAAUAAAUAGCACCUAACAGUCUGUCUGCCCCAAGAAGCCUCUCCUGACUAAUUGGGAAAUGCCAGUUCCUCCUCGUAUCUUCCCUUCUUUGUGUGGCAGCAUCUUCUCAGCCUCGCUUGUCACUGUCUUCCACCAUACUCAGAGCAACAGCAAAACAACUGCCAUUGUUCUCACAUCUUCAGUCACGUCUGUGAAGAGCCACGAUGCCUUGUGUGGGGUGUGCAAUUUACGGACCUUGAAGAGGAGGCUACGUUUCAUGUGCGGGUCAAUGCAGCCAAGACCUGUGAGACAAUCCAAGAACAGACGAGGAGAGAGGCGACUUCGAGCACUUCAACUCUCUCACAGCAACCCUCAGCAGCCCUCUGGGCUUUUUCCGGGAGGAGCUUCUCCCAGCUGGCUGUUGCCCUUUCAGCUUGGGCCUCAGAGUGAGCACGUAUGGAGCAGACCUGAGUCCAAUCUGCAGCAAGGAGACAAGCCCAGCUGGACUGCAAUAUGAUGCAAAGCUGCCCAGCGGGUGGCCAACCUGUAGUCAACAGUGUGCCAAUGGCCCCACCCCACGGACGGCACUUGGAGCAGGGCAGGCGUAGCCUCAUUCCUCAGAGGACUGAUUAGAGGGAGAGAGGUCAGUUAUUGUGGAAGACUGAGAGCUAUCAGGGC
rnacentral:lncRNA from 1 species